CUCCUGGAGGAGAGUUGUCCUUAGUGCUUUGUUAGGGGGUUGGGGGGUGAUGGAGGCUACAGCUCUUGGGGAAAAGCUGUUCCUCAGUCUUGUGGUGCGGGCCCGCAGUGUGCGGUACCUCUUCCCUGAUGGGAGGGGGACAAACAAGGUGUGUCCAGGGUGAGUUUAUCAGUGCUGAUUGACCUUGCCUUCCUCUUCCGGCAGUCAGCACACACAGAGUCCAGGUCUGGGAGCUCAGCUCCUAUGAUCUUUAUUGCUGACCUAACCACCCUGGCCAAGUCCCUCCUGCUCUCCGCUGUGCAGCCUGCAUACCACACACUGCAGCCCUGGCAGAGGAUGCUCUCAAUUGUGCUCCUAUCAAAGUGAAUGAGCAGGUGUGAGGAUAAACCUUCAGUAGAAAGAAGAGCCUCUUCUGGGCCCUCUUUACAAGGUUGGAGAUGUUAGUAGCCCAUGUCAGGUCCUUGGUGUUGUACGUCCCCAGGAGUUUAACAGAGUCCACCCUCUCCACUUCUUCCCCGUUGAUGGUAAGUGGGGUCUGCGUGGUCCUCUUGGACCUCCUUAAGUCCACGAGGAUCUCAUUUGUUUUGGUGGUGUUUAGGACCAUGUUGUUAUCCACACAUUGAAACAAAGUCCAGGAUCCAUGAGCAGAGUGAGGUGGGGAGACCAAGAUGAAUGAGUUCGAGGACCAGUUUAUGGGGGAUUGUGGUGUUGAAGGCAGAGCUGAAGUCCACAAAGAGGACCCUUACAUAUGUGUUGGGGUACUCCAGGGGGGACAGGGCUGUGUGGAGUGUGAUGGAGACAGCGUCCUCUGUGGAUCUGUUUGCCUGAUGGGCAAACUGGUGGCUGUCCAGGUCAACAGGGAUGCGGUCUCUGAUGUACGCCAGUAUCAUCAGCUCAAAGCACCUCAUGAUUACUGGGGUGAGGGCGACUGGGCGGUAGUCAUUGAGGCAGGUAAUGGCAGAUUCUUUAGGGGAUAGGGACGAUGGUAGUGGUCUUAAGGCAGGUGGGAACUGCAGCUUGUUGCAGGGAGUGGUUGAAGAUUUCUGUAGAAGCUCCUGCUAACUGGUUGGCACAUGAGCUCAGUAUACGGCCCGACACCCCAUAAGGGCCAGUAGCCUUGUUGGGGUCAAUCCUUCUCAAGGUGGACCUCACCUGGUGGUGCUGAAGAGUGAGUGUCUGCUCCUCCUCCUCGCUAACCAGUGCAGUGUCAUGAACUAGCUUGUAAUCCAUGACAAAAAAGGGGAGACCACACAGAAGUUUAACUGAAGUAUAUUUAUUUAGAACCAAUAACCUCUAUAAAGAGAUGACGAUAAACCAUGUAACCAUCAUUACAGUAGUGUAUGGGUGCAUGUGAAUAGUGUAGUGUAGUAAAUCAGACCCAUCUAAAGAACCUACAGCCCUGCUGUCUGGGUAGGAUAAGAUAGGAUAAGUGGAGGAGCCUGAUUGGAAUGGAGAUCAGGGGCCCUAAUUUAACGGUCUGAAACGCAAGUGAGAAGCGCCAAGCGCAAGUAGCUUUGUGGGCGGCCGCGGUUCUAUGGCGAUGUUGCUAUUUUACCGGCGGAUAAAUGACUCUCGUGCCCGACGCAAAUCUAAAAAGGGUUGGUCUGAAGUAGCCUAGUUACCCAUAGGUGUGGUUUGUGCGUAAUGUGCAAUAAACCAAUGAGAGUGCCAGCUCCCAUCCCCUUUAAGAGCCAUGAGCGCAUUUGAAUCUAACGAGUUGAUAUUUUGACAGCGCGUUUGCAGUCUCCAAUGAGACAGAUGCAUGCCCACAUGAAUUUCAAACUUCAAAUGGCUCAGUUUAUGGCCAAAUAAUAUGGCCUAAUUCCCACAUGGAAUAGCGUUUUCUUCCACAACUUCAGAAAUACUGAGUCCUCAAAUAAAUUUCGGCAAAGAAAACUUAACACACAUGUGAUUUGCGGUAACUGUUGUUCUAUUUAAUGAUAUACAUACAUAAUAAACAUACAUACAUAAAUACAUUAAUAAACAUAGUUUCUUACCAAUAUUGUUUGCAUUAUCGUUAUCGUUAUUAUUGUGUUCCUAAUAUGCAUGUGUCCUCCUGUUAAUAUACAUUGCCAUGGACUGUAUUAUGUGUAACGUGUUCAGUUUGCGUGUGUUUAAACAGAUGGACGCACACACCCGCGCCCGCAUUCAUUAAUUCAUUGUUUUCUCACGAUCAAAUACUCCUCAAUACUAAAAGUUAUGGGCUUCUACACGAUGUCUGUGUCAAGAAAAUAUGUGUUUGCUGUACGGUGUUUGCAGAUGCAUUGAUUUAAAAGUACAACUUAUUACCGCUGUAUCAGCUGUUCUUUCCCAAAUAAUUUCCCAAGAAUGUGUAGCUAGGUAGAAUAGAGAAGCAAAGUGUUUGCGCGAGGUGCUCAAGCAACAUUAUGCAUGCGUCCUUAAAAUAGCCUCUGAACAACGCGCCACUGACUUUAAACAAGGUAUUCCCUGGUUUGUGGCGGAAUUGUUUUCUGAAACUGCAAAAUAGCACCAGGGAAUGUUUGCGCCAGAACACGCCGCCUCAUUUCGCCGAACCGAAGCGGAGCGGUGGAGGGAAAAGAACGCUCUGCACCAGUUGCAAACCAGCAACGACACAUGUAGAAAGUCAAUUGCGCUGGGUACACGAUAUAUAAUAGGGCCUCGGGUGUGUUACAGCUCCUGCUGCCGCACCAGAGACACGCCUCCUCAACCCCUGAACCAUCCAGAGCGAGUUCAUCACAGUGGUCUUAUAUUUGUAGUCAGUUAUAGUUUUGAUGCCUCUCCACAUGCUCCUGGGGUCCGUGUUUUCAAAGUGACCCUCAAUGCGCUGUCUGUACUUGCCUUUGGCCUUGCACACAUUUUUGUGGAGUUUUGGUAAUACUUUCUUGGUAAUACUAAUAAUAGUUAUUAGAUGAUGACCUUGUAAAGAACCCAAUGUUGAUAUUUUAUUUACAUUUUUAUCUUAUAGAAAGUGAAAACACUGGACCUGGAUUUGGAGAUCAUUGGUAAGUUCUUAUUCCACAUGCUUCACUUUGUAAAUGAGUAACAGAUCAUUUAUUAAUAUCCAGUGAUUUGAAAGGGUCACUGACUCACACCAAGUCAAAUGAUAUCGCUGUGAUUCAAAACGUUUCUGGGGCGAUGUGGCCAGCAUAACGUCAGCUCAGUGGCGUUUAUAACGUAGCUCACUGAGUCGUCAUGACAACACAGAGCAGGGACAAAGGGUAGAAAUGGCGCUUUCACUUUCACUCCUUUAGUUCGUAGACUCGGUCCUAUUCAGGGUGAAGGUGAGGCCUUGUUACAUUUUAAUUUGGUUCGGUCAGCGUUCACACUGGACUCUGAUAGGCCGACCGUAUUGUAAACCAACGCCUCGCGGUGCCCAAAGUUGAACAUAUUUUAACUUUAUUGGACGGUGAAAAAAGGCAGAAAGCGAGAGGCAGGCUUCAGGCGCGCUAUUUAGAAAAUGGAGAAAACAGGAGGAGGAGGAGGAAAGGAAAGCCUUCAUUUGUGGUGGCUUGUUAGCUACUCUGCAGCAGCAGCUACAGGUUUUGUUUGUGAUGUUAGGCUAACUUUAUCUACUCUAUAACCGUCCAGAUGGAGCUGCUGGAGAAGGGACAUCUGGUCCCUCAUCCACAUCUCUCCUCUCUCCGGAGCUUCCUGCAGGUCUAGAGACAUCCAUCCCUCCAGCUCCCUCCAGUGAAACACAGCCUGCAGGUCUAGAGACAUCCAUCCCUCCAGCUCCCUCCAGUGAAACACAGCCUGCAGGUCUAGAGACAUCCAUCCCUCCAGCUCCCUCCAGUGAAACACAGCCUGCAGGUCUAGAGACAUCCAUCCCUCCAGCUCCCUCCAGUGAAACACAGCCUGCAGGUCUAGAGACAUCCAUCCCUCCAGCUCCCUCCAGUGAAACACAGCCUGCUGAAGAAACUACACCACUAAUGUCCAGUGAAUCUCCUGCACCCACCGGGGACCAACAAGAACAUACUUCAAGAACAAGUACCCCUGAUGUAACUAUGGAUGGUCAUGAUGAUGACCAGAGUCUGGAUGCCCGCGCCUACCGGUCUGGUACUGGACAGCUAGACAUUGAGAUGGGUCCAGUCCAAACGCUGCCCAAAGAUCGUAACAGGAUUCUUUAAUAUCGCUGUUAGACCCAAGUUUCCCAUCGACCGUGAUUCACUAUUGAAGGGGAAUGACAUUACAGGAGACAAAGUAACGCAGUUCGAGAAAUUCUGGAUCAACAUGAAAGUGAAUCUGAUGGUUCAAACUCAGAAACUAGGGGAGGAAAUACACCAGUCUGAUUCCUUCCUGAUGCCAGCUUUCACAGGAGAAGAGGCGUGGUCUGUUUAACAUCAUUAUUUGAUCAAUCCUCACAUUAUUCUUCUAUAUGUGGCUCACAGAGCAAAGACAAGCGAGGUGUUAAUAAAUAGUGUGAGGUGUGCUCUGUGAGGCGUCCUGGGGUAUGAUGGGUAACGUUGGCUUGGGUCCAAGCUCCACCUCUCUUGGGCGACCACCAAGGAAGAUGAUAUUUUCUUCAUGGUAUAUUUUUUUACAACGUUACUAACGUUACUCAAUAUUUAGUAAACUAUGACACGUACAUAUUUCACCCAUGCAAGUAUCUUUUCUUGUUGUUUUUCUGCUAAACUUUUAGUAACAUCACUUUUUUUAAGGCUUUUGACCGUAAUCAUUUAGGGAAUAAAAUGUAAAAUAACAGAUGCAAAACCUAUAAUGAAAAUAUCUCCCAAUGUACUGCACUGUAUUUCAAUUAGGUUAUCUUAUUUACAUUUAAUGUCUUUUGUUUUUUUUAAGUAAUUCCUGUACUUUUUUUUUUAUCAGGAAGAAUUUGGGGUGCUGGAAUUAGCAUUAAAUGGCCUUCUUUCAUGUGUCAGUCAAACAUUGUUAGUUAGAUACUAUUGUUUGUGAUCAAUUGGAGUCAGAGAGGGCUGGUUGUUGGGGUAUGCUUUUAUGAGAGCACACUAAUAAAGGGUUGAACAUUGCGUCUUAGCUUGUGGUCUGUUUGUGACAAGGGACCUGGAAACUCCACCUAAAGUCUGGUCUCACAGGAAGAUUGCAAAAACACAAAAAGGGCACAAGGCCGCUGUAGACUAAGACAGGGAAACAAUCCAAACAAAGGAAGAAAAGACAGGUCACCUUCUGAAGAGAAGUCAGGGAGCAGGCAGAGGGCAGAACCGCAGGCAAAGGCCAAAAACAGGCAGGAACCAGGCUGGCAGGAGCCAGGCAGGCAGACUACAGGGCCUUUUGAACUGACUAGGUAAGCCAAGACCAAACGUAAGAUCAAUCUAACAAGGUGGCACUGACAGCCCAGGAU